rnacentral:sRNA from 1 species
GCGCUGUCUACGAGUCGGG